UACGAAGGGUGCAAACGUUGCUCGGAAUCAUUGGGCGUAAGCGCACGUAGGCGGCUUGCCAAGUCGGACGUGAAAUCCCUCAGCUCAACUGAGGACGUGCAUCCGAAACUGGCGAGCUUGAGUGCUGAAGAGGAUCGCGGAAUUCCCGGUGUAGCGGUGAAAUGCGCAGAUAUCAGGAAGAACACCGUAUGGCAAGGCGCUCUGGCGGAC
rnacentral:rRNA from 1 species